rfam:Gallus gallus isolate RJF #256 breed Red Jungle fowl, inbred line TCD001 chromosome 5, whole genome shotgun sequence.
CAUAAGGCUCUUCUCAGAGCCCUUAAUUCAGUAUGAAUUGAUAU